rnacentral:tRNA from 1 species
AAGGAUUUAAGUUAACAAACUAUUAACCUUCAAAGUUAAAAUUAUAUAAAUGUGUAUAAGCCUUG